UUUUUCUCGAAUAAAAGAUCUAAUUAAAUUUUAAAGUUCUUGUAUUAAAAAGAUUUUUUAAGUUUCAUUAGUUGUGAAAUUCUAAUCGCUUUUAUUAAUAUCUAGUAACUUCAGAAAUAAAUUUAGUUUAGAAUGUUAAGGAAUUCUUAUUCUUAAACCAUUUUUAGGUUUUAGGGGAUGAGCUCUAAAAUCAAUAUAAAAGGAUAAAUUCUUAUGUUUUUUCUAUAGGCUUAGAAUUAGCCAUGAGAUAGUGUUAUAAAAUAAAACUUUAAGUUUAAGAUUUAGUUUCCUUUUUAAUUCAUGAAGUUAAUUUUAAAAUUUUUUUUAAAAUGAAAAUAUGAUAACAUUAGUAGAGAAACUUUUAAAUUUUCCAGCGUAUUUUUUAUGAAUAAAUUUUACAAAAGAACUCGGCAAAUAAAAUUUCCGAAUGUUUAACAAAAACAUUUCCUCCUGGUUUAGGAGGUAAGGCCUGCUCACUGAAUAUUUAAAGAGCCGCAGUAUCCUAACUGUGCUAAGGUAGCAUAAUCAUUUGUCUUUUAAUUGGAGACUGGUAUGAAUGGCUAAACGAGAAAUUAACUUUUUUUGUAAUAUAAAUUGAACUUAAUUUUUCAGUGAAAAAGCUGAAAUUUUUCAGAAAGACGAGAAGACCCUAUAGAGUUUUAUGUCUCUAAAUAUAUUAUCUAAUUUGAUUUUUAUAGAUUUCAUAUUAAAGGACAUUUUGUUGGGGCGACAUUAAGAUAUAAAAAACUCUUUAUUUUCAAAAUUUUUAUAAAAAGUUUGCUUGAUCCUCUAAAAGAGAUCAAAAGAAAAAAUUACCUUAGGGAUAACAGCGUAAUCUUUUUUGAGAGUUCUAAUCGACAAAAAGGUUUGCGACCU
rnacentral:rRNA from 1 species